ensembl:snRNA U6 U6 spliceosomal RNA
GUGCUUGUUUCGGCAGCACGUAUACUAAAAUUGGAACAAUCCAGAAAAGAUUAGCCUGGUCCCUGCACAAGGAUGACAUGCAAAUUCCUGAAGCUUCCAUAUUUUGC